GACUCUGAAGCAGAGAGGGGAAGGAGGAUGGAUAAUGAAGCACUCAUAGGAACAUGCAUCUCGAGGAACUCCAGUUACUAUUCAAGGAUGAGACCUUUUUCCUUGACAUACCAGAUUCUGCACUAGAAACUUUAAAUUUUGACUUAUCAAGUGUUAUCCCUCAAGAAGAAAUGUUGAAGGAGUGCUCCCUUAAAGGGGCCAAGAAAUUUCCGUCUGAAUCAGCUACAGUUGAAAACAAGGGAAUCAACGCCCCUCUCCCCCGAUUUUGAAAAACCCUGCACAACCAAAUCCCUCAUUACACAGUCAACUGGUCUUAAAAAGGGCCAAAGACUCUACCUCUGAAACAGCGACAGUUUCCAGGGGUGGGGAAAAAGGGGUCAGACCCUCUGAUGAUGAACCACCCUGUACCUCCAGAGCUAAGAAAUCCACCUCUGCAGC